UAAUACACUUGUUAUGAAUUCGCGCAUAAAGCUCCCUGAGGAUUUGCCUCUUUUACCUGCUUUGACCAUCCUCAUCCUCGUUGUCGACAUCAUCAAAUAGCACCUAUACAUAUAGUAACAAAUGUGUCAUCAAAUUUGGAAUAAAAACUAAUCUCUAGCAAGCAUUUGGCAGUUGCCAAAUUUUGGCAUCAAAUCAAUUUUUACAUGUCGUAAAGUAGGAUUAGGAAUUUAUGUAUUUUAAGCCUAUUUUUUAGACAUAUCCAUAGAUUAUGGGUAUAGAUGACUAACGGGUUCUCCCUCGUCAUUGGCGUCGAUGCCGGAGUGGUCGUAGGGGUCAUCGCCGGAGUCGUCACCACAAUCGUCGCCGGAGUCUAUGUGGAACUCCGGCUUCG
rnacentral:lncRNA from 1 species